rnacentral:rRNA from 1 species
CUACGGGGUGCUCCAGUGAGGAAUAUUGGACAAUGGAUGGCAAUCUGAUCCAGCCAUGCCGCGUGAAGAAAGAAUGUCCUAUGGAUUGUAAACUUCUUUUGUAUGGGAGCAAUAAGUUGUACGCGUACAAUGAUGAGAGUACCAUACGAAUAAGCAUCGGCUAACUCCGUGCCAGCAGCCGCGGUAAUACGGAGGAUGCGAGGCGUUAUCCGGAUUUAUUGGGUUUAAAGGGUGCGUAGGCGGUUACUGUAAGUCAGCGGUGAAAUUUAGGGGCUUAACCCCUACCGUGCCGUUGAUACUGCAGAGCUGGAAUAGGGAUGCUGUUGGCGGAAUGUGUAGUGUAGCGGUGAAAUGCAUAGAUAUUACACAGAACACCGAUUGCGAAGGCAGCUGACAAAUCCCUUAUUGACGCUGAUGCACGAAAGUGUGGGGAUCGAACAGGAUUAGAUACCCGGGUAGUC